rnacentral:misc_RNA from 1 species
CUGCUCUCCUGCAGCAUCAGGCAUUAUGACAACCCAGCGAUGGAUUCUGGCAUUCUGCUUUUCACUGGCCUCAGUUUUUGGCACAGUGGAAUUGUUCAAGACCAAAGAAAUUCAGACUUACACUUGCAGGACAUUUGGCAGCGGGAUCGUCCAGCCUUUUAAGGGGAAGAGUUACUAUGUUCGGUCCGACUGCCCGUUCAAACUCACGAGCUUCAACGUCAACCGAGUAAAAAAAAAAAAAAAAAAAAA